UGUUUGUUAAGGUAGUUAUAGACAGUGCAGCAACAAUAAUAAUAAUAAUAAUAAUAAUAGUCACUGUUUGUUAAGGUAGUUCUAGACAGUACAGCAACAAUAAUAAUAAUAAUAGUCACUGUUUGUUAAGGUAGUUCUAGACAGUGCAGCA